CGUAGGUGGCGAGCGUUGUCCGGAAUUAUUGGGCGUAAAGGGAGCGCAGGCGGGAGGUCAAGUCUAUCUUAAAAGUGCGGGGCUCAACCCCGUGAGGGGAUGGAAACUGGUCUUCUUGAGUGCAGGAGAGGAAAGCGGAAUUCCUAGUGUAGCGGUGAAAUGCGUAGAUAUUAGGAGGAACACCAGUGGCGAAGGCGGCUUUCUGGACUGUAACUGACGCUGAGGCUCGAAAGCGUGGGGAGCGA
rnacentral:rRNA from 1 species